UACGAAGGGGGCUAGCGUUGCUCGGAAUCACUGGGCGUAAAGCGCACGUAGGCGGCUUUUUAAGUCAGGGGUGAAAUCCUGGAGCUCAACUCCAGAACUGCCUUUGAUACUGGGAAGCUUGAGUCCGGGAGAGGUGAGUGGAACUCCGAGUGUAGAGGUGAAAUUCGUAGAUAUUCGGAAGAACACCAGUGGCGAAGGCGACUGACUGGACAAGUAUUGACGCUGAGGUGCGAAAGCGUGGGGAGCAAACAGG
rnacentral:rRNA from 1 species